rnacentral:lncRNA from 1 species
UAAGUCCGCAAUGUUGCCAGUGUCUGUCUGCAGAUUGGCUACCCAACUGUUGCAUCAGUACCCCAUUCUAUCAUCAACGGGUACAAACGAGUCCUGGCCUUGUCUGUGGAGACGGAUUACACCUUCCCACUCGCUGAAAAGGUCAAGGCCUUCUUGGCUGAUCCAUCUGCCUUUGUGGCUGCUGCCCCUGUGGCUGCUGCCACCACAGCUGCUCCUGCUGCUGCUGCAGCCCCAGCUAAGGUUGAAGCCAAGGAAGAGUCGGAGGAGUCGGACGAGGAUAUGGGAUUUGGUCUCUUUGACUAAUCACCAAAAAGCAACCAACUUAGCUUACUUCUUUAAAAAAAAAAAAAAAA